UAAAAAGCAAUGAAUAGGAAGAGUAAAUCUAAUUCGGUUUUCAGAGAGGGAAAUUUAUAAGCUGAGAGAUUUUCUAAAUUAGAGGGAUUGAAAACUACCUAGGAGCUGCAGCCUGAAGUUUUAAGAAUGAACUUAUUUUAGUAAGGUUUGUCGUCAGUCGCGUUAAGACGUUAAGUGAGUUAUGAAAAUAACUAAGUAGGGUGGAACCGCGAGAGACUCGUCCCUUUU
rnacentral:ncRNA from 1 species